AUGCCUAAAAAACACGCACACAGACAAGGUCGGCUCCGUAUUGAGAAACCUAAGAAACCUAAGAAAGAUUCAUCUGAGUCUGUGCCUCCUAAAAAACCAGUGUUGGCUCCCACGGAAAAACCUAAACUGGACAAAUCUUUUUUCCUCCUCGAUCCAAAAUGUUCAUCCAUUCCUCAUGGACCUUCUCAACACCAGGAACCUGUUAAAGAAACAGUAGCAGGCAACAAGGCUCACAACCCAACGUCUGUUACAAAGAGUCGACUCGACUCUCAGCAGAUGGAAAUGACCGUCCUCCAACGUUCUCAGGUCCAAAAUGACACUUCUGUGGUUGACCAACUGAGGGAGGAAAAUGCCAAAUAUAAACUGUCUCUGAUCCAGUUCCAACAAGAAUCAGAGGCCCAACAGAAACAGAGGGACAAAGAAAAGGCCAGUUUAUUGGACAUACAGAAGGAGAAGGAGACCAUUUUGGAGCAACAACGAAAGAUGAUUGACCAUCUCGAACAGACACUGGAGAAAUCAUCAGAAGACUUUGAGGUGCUGAAGGAGCAGUUGGCGACAGAAAAAGAUGCUCAACAACAUCAAACCAAUCUGCUGAUUGAACUCAAAGAAGAGGAAAUCUCCAACCUCAGCUUUUCAUUGGAAUCAUCUGAGCGUACGGUCUCCACCCAAGCCCUGGAACUGGAAAAUCAAGUUCAUCUGGAGGCUGAAAAUGUAAAUAUGAUUUCCACCUUGAAGGCGUCGCUCACCACUGAAGAGGAAAAGCUUGAAGAAACAAGAGAGAAAUGCAAGCAACUGAACGACGUCCAAAAACAGGACAAGGAGCUGAUCCACCUUCUUCAGACCAAGCUGAAGCUGAAGGAAAAAGAACUUCAAGAACAAUGCCUUCAGGCCAAAAACGAGCAGGAGAAGCUUCAAUUUGAAAUCACACAACAGAGGGAGGAGAAUGUCUGUGCUUCAAAACAAAAUAAUGUGUUUAAAACACAACUCAGCAUCAAGAUGAGUGAAUCUGAGGAAGAUCCUCCAACAACAAAGUCUCUGUUUAGGCGUUUCAUCAACUUUCUGAUGAAGGGAUGGCAGAAGAUAAAAAAGUUCUUCACGGAUAUCAUCAGAAGAUAG
rnacentral:lncRNA from 1 species